GCUAUGCAUCCGAUGAAGUGAGCUGUAGCUCACGAAAGCUCAUGCUCAAAUAAACUGGUUAGUCUCUAAGGUGCCACAAGUACUCCUUUUCUUAUUACAGAAAAAGGAAUUCAGCCAUUUUUCUCCCCCAUCCUCCCAAAAAACAACAUUCAGCCUGACGGGUGACAAUCUCCAGGGCACAGAGAGAACUCACCUCCUUUUGCUCCCUCUCUUUUAUGCCAAGAAAAUUAAGUUAUAUAUUAAAUCACAAAUAAAUGAAAAAAAGCUUACUAACCUUAAAGGUCUGUCUCUUCAUUUUUUAUUUUUUUAUAUCUAGGAUGAAAACCAGGUACAUGGCGUGAUUGGCUUUGUAGGUUGGACUAGAGAUGACCUGUACAAGUUUUAAGGAGACAAGUGAGGAGACAAAUUUUUGGGCUUUUGCAUCUGUGGACUUGUCAAUAUGCAUAUUAAAAUAUCCUAGGACAAGUAGUCUGGGGUGUUUCACCACCAUUGCCAACAAGGUAUCCGCAAGCUCCAUCAGAUACAGAUGCCAUUAUGAUCUAGAGUUAGAUGCACCAGGGAAAUACAUGGUAGAGUAUAAUUUUAUUAUAUCAGCCUAGAAGCACUGGUCUCUCGCCAGAUAGACUGGGGGUCAGAUGCAGGAGCACUGGUUCCUUGAGAAAACUACAUCUUCCAUGCCUGUUUUCUUUGCUCCCUCUCUCCUCCAUGAUAUCCUGUAGCUCUCAUACCCUAGUGCUUUAAAGGACACAUAGGCAUUGGAGGGAAGAGAAGGUUACUCAUCCUGUGCUGUAACAGGUUCUUUAAGAUGUGUGUCCUUAUGAGUGCUCCUCUUUAGAUGUGUCUGCAUCCCUGCGCCUAGGAUCGGAGAUUUUUGGUAGCAGUGCUCAUUUGGCCCACAAAUGCACUCGCCCUGUCUCAUGCUGUGUUCAGCAGCUAUCUAGCACUGUGUGGCCAAACUGCCCUCAGUUCCUUCUCUACCGUAGAGUUUAUGUCUGAAACUGAAGUGGAGGGUGGAUAGUGAAGCACCCAGAGAGAGACACAUCUCAAAGAACCUGUUACUGCACAGGGUGAAUAAUCGUCCCUUCUUCUUCGAGUAGUGUCCCUAUGGGUGCUCCACUUUCGGUGACUGUAGAGCAGUGCCUCUCAUUGGAAGGAUGGGGCUGCGGAGUUGGAUUAGUUAGUGAUGUUAAAACAGUCAAUCCUAAUAAAGCAUCGGAUGAUGAGUCCCGCACAAUGGUGUAGUGCUCCAUGAAUGUGCGAGCAGAGCCCAAGUCGCUGCUUUACAAAUGUCUGUGAUUGGUACAUUGUUCAGGAAAGCUAUAGAGGUGUAAAGUGAUCGUGUUGAGAGUGUUCGAGUCCGAUGGGGGGGGGUGCAAAUUAUUCUGAUGAUAGCAAAGGUUAAUACAACCAGAAAUCCGCAUUUCAGAAGUCAUUGUUUUGUAUGGCUGAUCCCUUCGAUCUCUCUAUACUAGAAAGGAAUAAUCUUGGUAACUUUGGGUUUGGUCCUUUUGCGAUAGAAGGCUAACACCCUUCUAAUGGCUAGUGUGUGGAACAUGGCCUCCCUUUUAUUCCUAGGCAGUCUAGGGAAGAAUAAUGACAGACGAAUAGGCUGAUUCACGUGGAAUGACUUAAGUAUUUUAGAUAGGAACUUUGGAUGUGGUCUUAACAGGACUUUAUCUUUGAAGAAAAUUGUGAAGAGGGGUAUGCCCUGAGAGCACCUAUUUCCCCCACUCUUCAAGCAUGAAAGGGAGUCUUCAUAGAUAGAUGUAUGAGUAAGCAAGUCGCCGUGGGCUCUGACAGGGGACCAGUGAGGCAUCGUAGCACUAGGGUAAGGUCCAAAGGUGGAGUGGGAUCUUAUAUUUUGGGGUAGAGGUUUCGAAUACCUCUGAGAAAUCUUUUUGUUAUAGGAUGGGUGAAUACUGAGCGCUUAUCAAUCUUCUGGUGGAAGGCCAUAAGGGACGUGAGAUGUACUCUACCUGAACUUCAGGACUGUCCUGACUUUUUUAGCUCUAGGAUGUAGCCCAGUACCAGUGGCAAGGGAGAGGUUGCAGCUGUGGCAUGUCUAUUGUCACACCAGGUCUGGAAUCUCUUCCAUUUGUGCAAGUAAAUAUAUUGCGUAGUUGAUCUUCUGCUAUUUAAUAGCAUCUCCUUUACAUCUUGAGAACAGGUCACUUUGAUACUCUGGACCCAUGCUUUCACAUGGAGAAUCUUAAGGUUCGGAUGGUGCAUUUGGCCUGCAUCUGAGACAGGAGAUGUGGAACUGGGUGAAGAAUGACUGGUGGGCAUACCACCAUCCAUAAGAGGUGUGUAGAUACUUAAAGACCGAAGAAUUGCCCUAGAAUCUCUUAAGGAAUGGAGGGAUUCAUCCGUCUUGUCCGCAAACAAAUUUGGAUUCUUCAAAGGGAAUAUCCUGUACCUCUUUUGGAACCCUGAGAGGUGAAGCCAUGACACCCUUCACAUGACUACAGCUGUAGAAAUGGAUCAUGCAGCUAUAUCAGCUGCAUCCAAGGAAGCUUGUAAAGUUGUCCUAGCCAGAAGGUGCUCAGCCAGAAAGUUCUGCAGGACCUAGGCAGAGGAGGCGGAGGACAGAAGUACUUCCUGGCCUGCUGAGGAGCUUGGAAAAGAGCCCAGUUCCCUCAAAUGGGAGGUCCUGCAGAGUGGAUUGCAUCUCCUGGGAUAACCUGGAGGACUGCAACCAAGAGCUGCGCCUCGUUACGACCGCAGAGGCAACAACCCUGGCCACCAAAUCAGUCAUGUCCCAGGCCAUCUGGAGGGCACCUUUGGCCAGCACUGUGCCUUCCCUCCACUAAAGUGACGAACUCCUGAGCUCGAUCCUGUGGGAGGACCUCCUUGAAUUUACCAAGGGAGUCCCACAGAUUAAAAUUGCACCUGCCCAACAAAGCCUGGUGGUUAGACAUCCGAAAUUGCAGGCUGGCCGUUGAAUAAAUAUUUCUGCCAAAUAUGUCUUCUUCAGCGUGCCACUUACCUGGCCCUCUCAUUAACAGCAGACACAACCAGCUGGA